GCAUCUGCUAAAAGUUCUGAAGAAAGAAAGAAGUGUCCUUUCUGCCAUCUGUCUUACCAGUUUUCAUCUUCACUUUCAAAGCAUGUUAAGGAGAAACAUAGCAAUGAGAAAAGCGUCAAAGAUUCUCACGUUUUCUGCAAUUUAUGCGGCUCAAUGGUUUUAAGUGUGGCAAAGCUAAUUGAGUAUCUUCAUCAAAUCCACAACAAGGAAAUCAAAAUAACAAA